rnacentral:rRNA from 1 species
GGAGUUAGCCGGUGCUUCUUCUGCGAGUAACGUCACAGAUGUAAGGUAUUAACUUACACCCUUUCCUCCUCGCUGAAAGUGCUUUACAACCCGAAGGCCUUCUUCACACACGCGGCAUGGCUGCAUCAGGGUUUCCCCCAUUGUGCAAUAUUCCCCACUGCUGCCUCCCGUAGGAGUCUGGGCCGUGUCUCAGUCCCAGUGUGGCUGAUCAUCCUCUCAGACCAGCUAGGGAUCGUCGCCUAGGUGAGCCUUUACCUCACCUACUAGCUAAUCCCACCUGGGCUUAUCCAUCAGCGCAAGGCCCGAAGGUCCCCUGCUUUCCCCCGUAGGGCGUAUGCGGUAUUAGCAGUCGUUUCCAACUGUUAUCCCCACAAAUGGGCAAAUUCCCAGGCAUUACUCACCCGUCCGCCGCUCGUCAUCUUCAAAGCAAGCUUUUGAAAUGUUACCGCUACGACUUGCAUGUGUUAGGCCUGCCGCCAGCGUUCAAUCUGAGCCAUAAUCAAACUCUGA